UACGUAGGCAGCGAGCGUUGUUCGGAAUUACUGGGCGUAAAGAGUGUGUAGGCGGUGCUCUAAGUUCGGUGUGAAAUCUCCUGGCUCAACUGGGAGGGUGCGCCGGAAACUGGAGUGCUUGAGCGUGGGAGAGGAAAGCGGAAUUCCUGGUGUAGCGGUGAAAUGCGUAGAUAUCAGGAGGAACACCCGUGGCUAAGGCGGCUCUCUAGUACGGUACUGACGCUGAGACGCGAAAGCGUGGGGAGCGAACAGG
rnacentral:rRNA from 1 species